UACGAAGGGUGCAAGCGUUACUCGGAAUUACUGGGCGUAAGCGUGCGUAGGUGGUGAGUUAAGUCUGAUGUGAAUCCCCGGGCUCAACCUGGGAAUGGCAUUGGAUACUGGCUCGCUAGAGUGCGGUAGAGGGUGGUGGAAUUCCCGGUGUAGCAGUGAAAUGCGUAGAGAUCGGGAGGAACAUCUGUGGCGAAGGCGACCACCUGGACCAACACUGACACUGAGGCACGAAAGCGUGGGGAGCAAACAGG
rnacentral:rRNA from 1 species